UAACAUGAAAACUACCUUAACCUAAAGGC
rnacentral:sRNA from 1 species